rnacentral:rRNA from 1 species
UACAGAGGGUGCGAGCGUUGUCCGGAAUCACUGGGCGUAAAGGGUGCGUAGGUGGGCAGGUAAGUCCGUGGUGAAAUCUCUGAGCUUAACUCAGAAACUGCCGUGGAUACUAUUUGUCUUGAAUAUUGUGGAGGUGAGCGGAAUAUGUCAUGUAGCGGUGAAAUGCUUAGAUAUGACAUAGAACACCAAUUGCGAAGGCAGCUCACUACACAAUUAUUGACGCUGAGGCACGAAAGCGUGGGGAUCAAACAGG